rnacentral:rRNA from 1 species
UACAGAGGGUGCAAACGUUGUUCGGAUUUACUGGGCGUAAAGCGCGUGUAGGCUGCUCCGCAAGUCGGAUGUGAAAGCCCUGGGCUCAACCCAGGAAGUGCAUUCGAAACUGCAGAGCUGGAGUCCUGGAGAGGAAGGCGGAAUUCUCGGUGUAGAGGUGAAAUUCGUAGAUAUCGAGAGGAACACCGGUGGCGAAGGCGGCCUUCUGGACAGUGACUGACGCUGAGACGCGAAAGCGUGGGGAGCAAACAGG